AUUGAACGCUGGCGGCAGGCCUAACACAUGCAAGUCGAACGAGUGGCGGACGGGUGAGUACUGUCUGGGAAACUGCCCGAUGGAGGGGGAUAACUACUGGAAACGGUAGCUAAUACCGCAUACCAUCAGAUGUGCCCAUAUGGGAUUAGCUAGUAGGUGGGGUAACGGCUCACCUAGGCGACGAUCCCUAGCGGGUCUGAGAGGAUGACCAGCCACACUGGAACUGAGACAGGGUCCAGACUCCUACGGGAGGCAGCAGUGGGGAAUAUGGCACAAUGGGCGCAAGCCUGAUGCAGCCAUGCCGCGGGUAUGAAGAAGGCCUUCGGGUUGUAAAGUACUUUCAGCGAGGAGGCGUUACUCGCAGAAGAAGCACCGGCUAACUCCGUGCCAGCCGCCGCGGUAAUAC
rnacentral:rRNA from 1 species